GGGGUCGUAGCUUAAGAAGAGCUUCGAGCUUUUAACUCGAGUGUGGGUGUAUCUCCGACUUCA
rnacentral:tRNA from 1 species